rnacentral:sRNA from 12 species
GGCCUAACCCGUUCCGUAAGGAGCGGCAGGGCUAUAAAUCCUGUUGAAGAUAAAGAUCCCAUCAUGUGGGAGCAUCUUCAACAGGUCAUAUCUCGAAAGGGAUAUGGGUCUCGCAAGGGAUC